rnacentral:rRNA from 1 species
AGUGAACGCUGGCGGUAGGCCUAACACAUGCAAGUCGAACGGCAGCACAGAGGAGCUUGCUCCUUGGGUGGCGAGUGGCGGACGGGUGAGGAAUACAUCGGAAUCUACUCUGUCGUGGGGGAUAACAUAGGGAAACUUACGCUAAUACCGCAUACGACCUACGGGUGAAAGCAAGGGACCUUCGGGCCUUGCGCGAUUGAAUGAGCCGAUGUCGGAUUAGCUAGUUGGCGGGGUAAAGGCCCACCAAGGCGACGAUCCGUAGCUGGUCUGAGAGGAUGAUCAGCCACACUGGAACUGAGACACGGUCCAGACUCCUACGGGAGGCAGCAGUGGGGAAUAUUGGACAAUGGGCGCAAGCCUGAUCCAGCCAUACCGCGUGGGUGAAGAAGGCCUUCGGGUUGUAAAGCCCUUUUGUUGGGAAAGAAAUUCAGCUGGCUAAUACCCGGUUGGGAUGACGGUACCCAAAGAAUAAGCACCGGCUAACUUCGUGCCAGCAGCCGCCGCCG